CAGUCGCCGCGGUAAUGCGUAGGGCGCAAGCGUUAAUCGGAAUUACUGGGCGUAAAGCGUGCGCAGGCGGUUCUAUAAGACAGAUGUGAAAUCCCCGGGCUCAACCUGGGAACUGCAUUUGUGACUGUAGAGCUGGAGUGCGGCAGAGGGGGAUGGAAUUCCGCGUGUAGCAGUGAAAUGCGUAGAUAUGCGGAGGAACACCGAUGGCGAAGGCAAUCCCCUGGGCCUGCACUGACGCUCAUGCACGAAAGCGUGGGGAGCAAACAGGAUUAGAUACCCCUGUAGUCCCUGUCUCUUAUAC
rnacentral:rRNA from 1 species